UCUAGCCAUGCCGCGUGAGUGAUGAAGGCCUUAGGGUCGUAAAGCUCUUUCGCCUGUGAUGACAAUGACAGUAGCAGGUAAAGAAACCCCGGCUAACUCCGUGCCAGCAGCCGCGGUAAUACGGAGGGGGUUAGCGUUGUUCGGAAUUACUGGGCGUAAAGCGCGCGUAGGCGGAUUAGAAAGUUGAGGGUGAAAUCCCGGGGCUCAACCUCGGAACUGCCUCCAAAACUGCUAGUCUAGAGUUCGAGAGAGGUGAGUGGAAUUCCGAGUGUAGAGGUGAAAUUCGUAGAUAUUCGGAGGAACACCAGUGGCGAAGGCGGCUCACUGGCUCGAUACUGACGCUGAGGGGCGAAAGUGUGGGGAGCAAACAGGAUUAGAUACCCUGGUAGUCCACACCGUAAACGAUGAAUGCCAGUCGUCGGGUAGUAUACUAUUCGGUGACACACCUAACGGAUUAAGCAUUCCGCCUGGGGAGUACGGUCGCAAGAUUAAAACUCAAAUGAAUUGACGGGG
rnacentral:rRNA from 1 species